UAGUCGCACUGAACAACCGGUUCUCGCACGAUCACUGAAGUUAAGCAAUAUCGAUCCUGGUCAGUACCUAGAUGGGUGACUGCUUCGGAAUACCAGAUGCUGGAA